UCAGGAUGAACGCUGGCGGCGUGCCUAAUACAUGCAAGUCGAGCGAAUGGAUUGAGAGCUUGCUCUCAAGAAGUUAGCGGCGGACGGGUGAGUAACACGUGGGUAACCUGCCCAUAAGACUGGGAUAACUCCGGGAAACCGGGGCUAAUACCGGAUAAUAUUUUGAACUGCAUGGUUCGAAAUUGAAAGGCGGCUUCGGCUGUCACUUAUGGAUGGACCCGCGUCGCAUUAGCUAGUUGGUGAGGUAACGGCUCACCAAGGCAACGAUGCGUAGCCGACCUGAGAGGGUGAUCGGCCACACUGGGACUGAGACACGGCCCAGACUCCUACGGGAGGCAGCAGUAGGGAAUCUUCCGCAAUGGACGAAAGUCUGACGGAGCAACGCCGCGUGAGUGAUGAAGGCUUUCGGGUCGUAAAACUCUGUUGUUAGGGAAGAACAAGUGCUAGUUGAAUAAGCUGGCACCUUGACGGUACCUAACCAGAAAGCCACGGCUAACUACGUGCCAGCAGCCGCGGUAAUACGUAGGUGGCAAGCGUUAUCCGGAAUUAUUGGGCGUAAAGCGCGCGCAGGUGGUUUCUUAAGUCUGAUGUGAAAGCCCACGGCUCAACCGUGGAGGGUCAUUGGAAACUGGGAGACUUGAGUGCAGAAGAGGAAAGUGGAAUUCCAUGUGUAGCGGUGAAAUGCGUAGAGAUAUGGAGGAACACCAGUGGCGAAGGCGACUUUCUGGUCUGUAACUCGCUUUACGCCCAAUAAUUCCGGAUAACGCUUGCCACCUACGUAUUACCGCGGCUGCUGGCACGUAGUUAGCCGUGGCUUUCUGGUUAGGUACCGUCAAGGUGCCAGCUUAUUCAACUAGCACUUGUUCUUCCCUAACAACAGAGUUUUACGACCCGAAAGCCUUCAUCACUCACGCGGCGUUGCUCCGUCAGACUUUCGUCCAUUGCGGAAGAUUCCCUACUGCUGCCUCCCGUAGGAGUCUGGGCCGUGUCUCAGUCCCAGUGUGGCCGAUCACCCUCUCAGGUCGGCUACGCAUCGUUGCCUUGGUGAGCCGUUACCUCACCAACUAGCUAAUGCGACGCGGGUCCAUCCAUAAGUGACAGCCGAAGCCGCCUUUCAAUUUCGAACCAUGCAGUUCAAAAUAUUAUCCGGUAUUAGCCCCGGUUUCCCGGAGUUAUCCCAGUCUUAUGGGCAGGUUACCCACGUGUUACUCACCCGUCCGCCGCUAACUUCUUGAGAGCAAGCUCUCAAUCCAUUCGCUCGACUUGCAUGUAUUAGGCACGCCGCCAGCGUUCAUCCUGA
rnacentral:rRNA from 1 species